GCAUGGGAAGGAGGGAUUGCAGUAUGAAUUCCCUAGAUAGGCAAUUUCCUCUACUUCAUCAGGCAAUCCCUGAGCCAAGGGUGAACACCCCUAGAGAUGUGUCUGCCGAAGACCCGUACUGCCAACCAAACAAAAGGUAGAGCAUCUCUCCACACGUUGCUCAAAUCCGGCGUGGUUUGACUCUAGAGUAACCUCCAGUCUUUUCCUCUCCCCUUUUAAGUGCAAGCCUAUACUGCACCAGGACUGAGUCUGGGCAUCAUCCUCUCGCUGGCCCUGGCUGGUGUUCUUGGCAUCUGUGUUGUGGUGGCAGUGUCCAUUUGGCUUUUCAGAAGGAAGAGUAUCAAGAAAGGUGAUAACAAGGGAGUCA